UCAGUCAGAGGGAUCCUUAAAAAAAAAAAAAAAAAAAAACAAUUAAGAUUAUAUCACUUCGUUGUUAAAACACUUCAGUGGCUUGGCUUUCUAUAGUAUUUAAAAUAAAACCUAAACUCCUUACUCUAGCCUACAAGCUCCUGCAUCAUAUGCGCCUAUAUUCAAACACACCUGUGCCAACCCUCCUUUCCCACCUUCAUUAUGUUUCAGCUGCGCUGGUCCUAACAGGCCAAGUUCUCUCCUGGUCUGUGAGUUUUGCACAUAGUGACUCGCUGCCAGGGAUGCUCUUCCCUCUGUUCCCACUCAUUGCAUGGCAGUGCCAACUCAUCUCUUGUAUUUCUUUCUAGAUAGUUCUUCUGAGAGACUUAACCUAUCACAUAAAAAGAUAGGUUAGUGCCCUUCCUCUUUUUCUAGCUCAAUUUUAUGUUUUCCUCAGAACCAUUAUCACAAUUGCAAUUGUUGACUUAUUUUCCUGUCCAUGUAGGUUGUAGUUUUGCACCAGGUGCGAUAAGUUCCAUGAGAGCAGGACUUUGGCCAUUUUUUUCUUUGUACAGUAGGCUCAAUAAAUGGGUAGUGAAUGAAUUAGUCUUUAGGCCUUGGUAAUUUGCUUUAUAAUUUACAAAGCAAAAGGCAUGAGUAAGAAAGUUCAUAGCACAUUUUUUGUUAGUAGCCCCAAACUGGAAACUAUUGAAAGGUCAUAAAUAAGAGAUUGGAUCAAAGUUGCUAGCAAUGGACAGCAACUACAAGAACAAUAUGGAUGAAUUUACAUAUGACACCAAGUGAAAUAAGGUGGAUACAGAGAGCGUAUGGUAUAUGAUUUAAUUUAUAUAAAAUUCAAAAUAGUAAACAGGCAAUCUAUUGUUAUCGGAAGUAAUGAUCAUGUUUACCCUUGGUGCGGGCAGUAGUGACUGGGGAUGGGGUGGGGAAGAGAGGCUUCUGAGCUGUGGGUGAGGUUUCUUCAUCUGGGUGUUGGUUACACCAGUGUGUUCAGCUUGUGAAAACUCAAAUCUUAUGACUUGUGCGUUUAUUUUCCCCAAAUGUAUGUUCCCUGGCUCUACAACUAGAGAAUCUGACUUGCGGGCCUAGCGAGGGGUAAGAACCUGCAUUUAAAAACAAGCUCCCCAACGGGUGCGCUGAAACACGCCUGGAGAAACGCUUUAGUUUUCUCUACAAUUACUGAGUUAUUUUCCUGAUUUCAUUAUCUGAUUAUGUCACUCCUGUUUAAAGUGCUUCCAAUGUUUCUUUUUAUCCCCUAUUCUGCAGGAUGAAGUCCAAACUCCCUCGCCUGGCAUUCACGGCCUCCCACAAUCUCACCCCAACCCCUUCCUAGCUUCUUCCCUCUGGCAAUUCUGCGUCCGUCACCCCAAAUCCCGUUGUAGCUACAAGUCUGGCGGCCAUUCAUGCAGCUGUGCCCCCUCUUCCUGGAAUAGGAUCCUCACUCUCCCUUAAGAACGACAGCACGUCCUUAAAGAAAGCAUCUCAAUGAGUAGAGAAAGGGUUAACAGUAGGCAGGGAUACAUAGGUACCCUCCAGAGGUUGAUUGCAGCGGCCGUCCUACUCCUUGCGUCCACCGUGCCCCCAGCCCCUGGCUGCAGAUGCGAGUGGGAGGCUAUAACUGCGGACGGGUUUCUUUUUUGGGGGGGGGGAGGGGGGGAGGAGGAUAAACGAUUCCAGACCUGCCCAUGCUAGGUGCCAUGAAUAGAGUUUCACAGGCUUUUAUCCAGUUCCUGAUAAGGUCCCAAUAAAAAGUCAGAGACAAAGUCCUUGGCGGCAACCCAACUGGGACCCCUCUCCCUCUCCAGAGCUUGGUACUUUCGCUCAAUAAAAUUCUAUCGCUUUGCUCAACUCUCUGCUGUCCGGGAGAUUCUUUCUUCUACUCUGUGAGACAAGGACCAGGGUCUCUCUCACCCACCUGUAACGUCAAGAUCCCUUCCCAAGCAACCCCAAGGCGGUUUUCAGAUUUCUUCGAAGCUCCAUUAGAAUGCGUAGGCAACUCUCCAAGCAAACUUUGUGUACCUCGCCGGGUCACGAGCGUCCUAGGAGGAGGAAGGAGAUCUUUAACAGCCGAGACUUCAGAAACCAAAUUACCAAAUCAAACACACGAGCGAGGUGGCUGGCCACGCCCCUUCCGGGACACCUGACAGGUUCGUCCAAUCACCGGGAGGAAGGGCAACUCCUGGACCACGCCAGGGAUGCGCUCAGUAGUUCCUUUGGCUCCUCCCUGCGGGGCCACGCCCCCGCCGUACGCCGUCCUGCCCGUCCAAUCACCGAGAGGAAGGCAAACCGCAGCCUGCACCGGUAACCCACGUGGCAGUCCGCGGGCACACUUAGCUGGUGUUUCGCGUGGGAUGUGUGGGAAGCUAUGUCCGCUUCAAGCUGCGCCUUGCGCUUGCUUGUGGGAAGAGGUCAAUGUGAGGGGCAGGGCAGGCGCCCUUCGGGUGCCUGCAGGGGAGCACCGAGCAUGGGAGAAGCGCUUGGUCCCAGCUUCGGCUGGGAGACGCGGGGGACGGCCGCAGCACGCCGACUUCCCCUUAGAGUCCCUGCGGGUGUCGGCACGGCCAGCUGUCCACCUGUAACCAGCUGCUCCCCAGAGUGCCUGUCAGCUUCAGCUGAGUAGGUGUGUCUCGUUUGUUUCUUUCAGUCACGGGGGAUGGAAGCGUCAGUUUAGCCAAGUUUGUCGAUGUCCCCAAAGAGAAAUCUAAGCCUGUUCAAGAUGUGAACCAAAAGCUACCCAGAACCGGGUAACCUUUCCGAGAUGUGAACCGAUCCCAGUUACGACCAAACCGGCACGGUAGUCAUGUGUAUGCCUGCCUGGCAUAAUAUAUUUAGGAGUGAAAAAAAAAAAAAAAAGCGCACGUUACAACUGUUAUCAAAAUUUCCAUGUUAAGAGCCCCGAAGCUGAGCAAGACAGUGUCUCAGCCCAAUCAACCAACACCCACCGGGAAUAAACCUGUAGUCCUACAAAAUCAGUUUGUAGCCACUUGCUGGAUUCUUUCUCAUCCUCUCUCGGAAGGAGAUGUCCCUGCAGUCUCCUCUUCUUUCCCCAAAGUGAAGAAGGAUGAUGCUAUCGCACAGAGGCCUGCCAUCUAGGAAGGCGGUAAGCAAGGGGAUCUUGGGACAGCGGCAAGUACCCGUGCCGGAAUGGCAUAUUGUAGCAUACACACCAUGACCCGGUGAGAAAACAGCCCGAAGCGAAAGCCUAGCAAAGGCAAAAAGAUCUGGAACAUGGUAGCCUCGCUAGGAGUAAAUGUUUUAUAGGAGGACACAGCAACGUGAAGGGGAGGUGAGAAUGAAGA